GAUGAAGAACGUAGCAAAAUGCGAUAAGUAAUGUGAAUUGCAGAAUUCAGUGAAUCAUCGAAUCUUUGAACGCACAUUGCGCCCGCCAGUAUUCUGGCGGGCAUGCCUGUUCGAGCGUCAUUUCAACCCUCAAGCACAGCUUGGUGUUGGGACUCGCGUUAAUUCGCGUUCCCCAAAUUGAUUGGCGGUCACGUCGAGCUUCCAUGGCGUAGUAGUAAAACCCUCGUUACUGGUAAUCGUCGCGGCCACGCCGUUAAACCCCAACUUCUGAAUGUUGACCUCGGAUCAGGUAGGAAUACCCGCUGAACUUAAGCAUAUCAAUAAGCGGAGGA
rnacentral:misc_RNA from 1 species